rnacentral:lncRNA from 1 species
CACUGAGUAAGGAAUUAAUUCUGGGAAAGCACCUCUCAAACCCUUCCAAAUCUUCCAAACCCCUCCAAGUCUGCAAUACUGGACUAUAAAAAUGCUGAAUAAAUGAGGGCUGUGCAGAGCCCAUGCUCUCCACUCUGUUACUACAUGACAAGCCAUUUAGUUCAGCCUUUCUCUGCUGCCUGACAGUGCACAUCAGCUGAAGCAGGACUGGCAGUGACCCCAGCUGACCCUUGUAAUGAAAGAGAGAUGUUUGUCUAACUGGAGACCCAUGAAGGAGCCCAAGAUGUUGCCAUUCCAUAAAGGUGCUCAAUUCCUUGCAUAGCUCUUGAUUUCUCUGGGUAAUUGGUUGUAUUAAUUGUCUCUCUUAUACAAUGUUGUGUUAAGGCACAGAAGGAUUUGUAAAGUGAUUUGACUGUUCAGCCCUGAGACAGGUAAAAUUGCUGGUUCUCACCUGAGACACAACAAUCUCUACCACAUUCAUAAUCUUCCCUCACAUUCUCCUUGAACUGUCCUGAAGCAAUUGAGAUAUGUAUGAAAUAAGCUAUAGUUUUAUAAUGCUUUGUGACAAAGUGCUCUUUGAUUUUGAUAGAGAUACAUCAGCCCCAAACAGACACAGCUUCCAGUAAUGCCAAGAAUGUUAUGACUGGAUGUGAGACCAUUUCUUCACCAAAGGGGUUGUCAAGUAUUGGAACAGGCCACCCAGGGAAGAAGCAGCUAUACAUCUUCAGAGCAUUGAGAAGUCUGUACUUGGCCAAAUUCAAAGACUGAUGAACAAGCUAGUGUAAGACCAACUUACAAAGUUCUUAUCUUCAGUCUACAGCCCUAGACAUGUAUGGAAGCCACUCAUUACAUAUCUAGGGCAAAGCAAAGCAUCAUUUCAGACAGAAAACCUGUCUGUCACAGAAUGUCAUAUACACCUCAAUGGAGCCACAGGGAAAAUUCCUAUUUUUUUCAAGAUGACUGGGAUGGCAGGCCAGAAAUACGAAUUUUGGACAAGAAUUUCAAGAUCAGGCAAGAAGAGCACACCAGCCCAGAGGUUUAAAGUCUCCACUAAACACUGUAAGCAUUUUUGUAAGUGCUACAGUCCAGGAUCCUGAGUGGUACUAAGGUAUUGUGGACAGUCAACACUUUCAACUCCACUGAAAAUAAAUAGACUCAAAAUCACUUGAUUUAGAUUGUG